rnacentral:lncRNA from 1 species
AAUAAACACUUCCAAUUGCCACCUAUUCCCCUCUACCUCAGAGAACAACUAAUCCCUCUCUGCUCCCGCAGUGCUGGGCCGCCUAGACUGGGAGGCCAGGCCUACUUCUGGAGAGAGCAGGGAAGGAGAAGACAAGGGGGUAGUUACCUGAACAAAUCGUCGUCUGAAUCCAACGAAAAUCCAAAAGGGGGAGAAAAAUCCACUCCCUCCCUCCUCAGAGAAGCCGCUGCCGAACCACCACCACCACGGAGCAGGAGGAGGAGGGGAGAUAAUAUAACAACAAUAAUCCGGGCCGGGAGGGGGGCUAGUUCCUCUUCCGCCUCCUCCUCAGUGCAGCGAACAUGUAGAGCCGAGCGGCGAGCGACCAAGACAAAUCCCUUCCCCCUGAGUCUGCUUCACGAACAAAAUGCCGACCGGAAGUGCAGCUGCAGGAAUGACUCCCUCCACCGGCGACCAAACAUAACAGCCUCUCCCUUUCCUCCACUGUCGCCUCCUCAUUUGCCUGGCUGGCACUGCUUCCGUUGGCACUGCGUUGCUUUACAUUACCCCCUCCCAGCUUUGCUGCAACCGAAGUUCCCUUGUCUCACCGCACCUGGCAGUGAUGGACACAGCUGAACCUGUGCUGCAUGGCUGUCACUCCACUUCCCACCCAUCUGGCUUCCGCCUGAAUUUUUCUUCUUUUCCCUGAUGGUGUACAGAACUAGACCAGAGUUUGCACUCAGGCCUGCACUGAAAGAAAAGCAGCUAGAGAUUUGUGAAAAAGUGAUCUUUGAAAAAAAAUACAUAUUUUGAGUUUAUUUUUUUUAUCUUACUUAAGGAUGGUAGGGAGAAGGAUUUACAAAUGACUGCAAAAUGCUACCUCAUAGGAGGCAGACUUAAGAAGGCAACUUAUAAUGAAGCCAUGAAGGCAGCAGUCUCCAUCAGCCCCAGCUGUGGCAAAUCUGGGACACUUACUGGAAUUACCGUUACCAUUACUGAUAAUCUCUGUGGAAUUUAAGAGGCUGUGUCACAGGAACUGUGGGAAUGGAAUGUUGUUUCUACAUUUGAUAUUAAAACGUAGCAAUUGGUUUGAAGAAGUAGAACAUAAUGCAUUUGUAUUUUGUAACUUAUCCUUAGAAAUAGUUGAUCUAAGAAGUAAAAUACUGUAUAUGUUAGCGGCAUGUUUUAGAAACAUUAUUACUGAAUUAUGUGAUUAAUUCUUUCUUGCAAAACUGUAAUAGUUGUUAAAUGUUCCAAACAAUGCGAGUAUAGUGUGCUAAGGAUUAGAAAACAUAUUGUAGAGCUGUUCUCUUAGGAUAAGAAACUCUCAGCAAAAGAAAGACAGAUUUAGCAAACAUCAAAGAAGUUAGGGCCUCUACACAAGGCUGAACUGUCUCAGUCCGUGAGAAGGUUGGGGUGUGAAGGCAGGCACCAGGAUACUCCCCUGCCUCUCUCCCAAGCUUAUCUUUGUAGAAAGAAGGACAAGCAGAUAUCUGCAAAAUAAUGAUCAGAUGUGGAAUAAGUUAAUUAACUACAGAUUUACGCUUAUACAGCAAAAAUUUAUGUUUGUCCAGUGUUUCCAUGUAUUGAAUCGUUGAGAAGAUUGUGAACCUGAAGUACUCAGCCAAUGAGGAACCAGGGGAGUAAGAGAUAAGCGUCGGGGAAUAGGGAAUAAAAGAUGUAACUCUGUUUUCUGUGUGCUCUCC